rnacentral:rRNA from 1 species
ACGCGUGAGAAUUUGCCUCUAGGAGGGGGAUACAAAUACCCCAUAUGCUUUCGAGUGAAAUGGAUUUUUCCGCCUAGAGAGAAGCUUGCGGCUGAUUAGCUUGUUGGUGAGGUAAUGGCUUACCAAGGCGACGAUCAGUAUCUGGUUUGAGAGGACGAUCAGACACACUGGAACUGAGACACGGUCCAGACUCCUACGGGAGGCAGCAGUGGGGAAUUUUCCGCAAUGGGCGAAAGCCUGACGGAGCAAUCUCGCGUGAGGGAUGACUGCCUAUGGGUUGUAAACCUCUUUUUUCAGGGAGGAAUCAAUGACGUGUACCUGAAGAAUAAGCAUCGGCUAACUCCGUGCCAGCAGCCGCGGUAAGACGGAGGAUGCAAGUGUUAUCCGGAAUCACUGGGCGUAAAGCGUCUGUAGGUGGUUUAGUAAGUCAACUGUUAAAUCUUGAAGCUCAACUUCAAAAUCGCAGUCGAAACUAUUAGACUAGAGUAUAGUAGGGGUAAAGGGAAUUUCCAGUGGAGCGGUGAAAUGCGUAGAGAUUGGAAAGAACACCGAUGGCGAAGGCACUUUACUGGGCUAUUACUGACACUCAGAGACGAAAGCUAGGGUAGCAAAUGGGAUUAGAU